rnacentral:misc_RNA from 1 species
CCUUGCAUCACAAGGAGGGAUCCAGGUGCCAGAGGCAGCUUGAGAGAGCCUCUGUAAUCCCCAGGAUGGUCUGCUGUGAUUACUCUCCCAAAAGUGAGGUCACAUUCUGUCAAGAACAGCACAGAAAUGGGCUUUACAAACCAUGAAGGCCACAUGUAAGGCUGUGAAUGAUCACCCUCAUUAUAUAUGUCAAUUAUGCAAGAAUCUGGUUUCAUGGUAAUUAUCUGCAUGCUUACAAUACGAUCAAUGACAUCUUGCAGCAAGGUUGGGAUAGAUUCUAUUCUGCGAUCUUUAGAAGUCCCUGCAGCAUUUUCAUCUUCUGCAGGUGCAUCUGCUAUGGGAAGACCCAAUUGAAUCAUCUCUCUACCAUGUCCCUUCAUAGGUCUCUUGGAGACCACAUAUGUCUGACCUUGAAAUUGUCCUCUUCUCCCUGAAGCUCUCAAAUCAUU